GAUGAACGCUGGCGGCGUGCCUAAUACAUGCAAGUCGAGCGAACAGACGAGGAGCUUGCUCCUCUGACGUUAGCGGCGGACGGGUGAGUAACACGUGGCUAACCUACCUAUAAGACUGGGAUAACUUCGGGAAACCGGAGCUAAUACCGGAUAAUAUAUUGAACCGCAUGGUUCAAUAGUGAAAGACGGUUUUGCUGUCACUUAUCGAUGGAUCCGCGCCGCAUUAGCUAGUUGGUAAGGUAACGGCUUACCAAGGCGACGAUGCGUAGCCGACCUGAGAGGGUGAUAGGCCACACUGGAACUGAGACACGGUCCAGACUCCUACGGGAGGCAGCAGUAGGGAAUCUUCCGCAAUGGACGAAAGCCUGACGGAGCAACGCCGCGUGAGUGAUGAAGGUCUUCGGAUCGUAAAACUCUGUUAUUAGGGAAGAACAAAUGUGUAAGUAACUAUGCACGUCUUGACGGUACCUAAUCAGAAAGCCACGGCUAACUACGUG
rnacentral:rRNA from 1 species